rnacentral:rRNA from 1 species
UACGUAGGGUGCAAGCGUUGUCCGGAAUUACUGGGCGUAAAGCGUGCGCAGGCGGUUAUUUAAGCCAGACGUGAAAGCCCCGGGCUUAACCUGGGAAUGGCGUUUGGGACUGGAUAGCUGGAGUACGGCAGAGGGAGGUGGAAUUCCACGUGUAGCAGUGAAAUGCGUAGAGAUGUGGAGGAACACCGAUGGCGAAGGCAGCCUCCUGGGCCAGUACUGACGCUCAUGCACGAAAGCGUGGGGAGCAAACAGG